ensembl:lncRNA
AGGGUCUCCAUCCCGAGGGAACCUGAGAGCUUUUCAUUUGGUGCAUUGGCCGGGAAAGGAGAUCCUCCAGCCAGGGACCACCGACCACCCACUGGGAGGUAAGCCGGCCGGCGUCUGUCUGAUUCUGUCUCGUUCUGCCUUAUUCUGUCUGUUCUGUGAGCGCUCAGCCAGGUCUGUUCUGUGAGCGCUCAGCCAGGUUGUUUGGAAUUUGGGCGGGACGAAGAAGGAGCUGACGAGCUCGGACUUCUCGCCCCGCAGCCCUGGAAGACGUUCCAAGGGUGUUGGGGCCCGACUUUUCGGGGCCCAAUCUGGGAGAGGAGAAAGAUCCGGACUAACGGCACCUCUGUCUGUAUUUUUGGCUUUCAGAGGGCCCCGGACCUUUGCCACCUCCAUCUGACUUUUUGCUUUCAGUUUGGUACCAAAGCCGUGCAGCACGCCUGUCUGUUGUUUGUUUGACUGUUGGUGUUGUUUGUUUUCUCUGUGUUCUAAUCUUCCUUAGAACUAACAUGGGACAGUCCCUAAC